rnacentral:sRNA from 1 species
GACGAGUCUUUCUUCCAGCUCUACCCUGAAAGUCCUCCAGGCACCGGUCUUUUUUUUCUGCCUUUUGUUUCCCUCCCGGCGAGUCGGCGCGACAGUGAAUUUCCGUUUCCCGCGGUGUCCAAGCGGACCUGAGGAGUUGCAGUUGUGAGCAGGUUAGAGUUACUUGUUAUUGGUAAAUAGCCACUAUGGAGACUAAGGACCAGAAGAAACAAAGAAAGAAAAACAGUGGACCCAAAGAUGAAAAGAAAAAGAAGCGGCAUCUGCAGGAUCUCCAGCUAGGAGACGAAGAAGAUGCCCAGAAGAGAAAUCCCAAAGCUUUUGCAGUUCAGUCUGCUGUGUGGAUGGCUCGAUCCUUUCACAGGACUCAGGAUUUGAAGACAAAAAAGCAUCGUAUUCCAGUGGUUGAUCGAACUCCAUUAGAGCCCCCACCAAUAGUGGUAGUGGUGACGGGGCCUCCAAAGUUGGAAAGAGCACUUUGAUAUAAUGCCUCAUUCAGAACUUCAUUGGCAGAAGUUGACUGAGAUCAGAGGCCCUGUGAUGAUCGUUUCAGGUCAAGGGCUCAGAGGUUUGCAGGGCCCUCCUGGGAAGAUGGGGCCCCCAGGAAAUACAGGGGCUUCUGGAAUUCCAGGACCUAGGGGCCAAAAAAGAGAUCAUGGGGACAAUUCAGUUGCUGAGGCUAAGCUGGCCAACUUAGAGAGAGAGCUACAGAGCCUGAGAUCAGAACUGGACCACACGAAGAAGCAGACAGGAUCUCCGUAUGUUGUCCAGGCUGGUCUUUAACUCCUGACCUCAAGUGAUCCUCCCCAAUCAGCCUCCCAAAGUGCUGGGAUUACAGUUUCAUCCCUCUCUCUGCCUUGGUUUUCAUAUUUGGAAAAUGAGGAGGAGGAUUUAACUAGAUUAUCUCUAAGGUUGAAUGGGGAAAGAACAUUCCUGGAAUCACCAGGCAAGAAGAGGAUUGGAGAGAUGGGGUCUCACUCUGUUGCCCAUGCUGGUCUCAAACUCCUGGUCUCAAGCAAUUCUCCUGCCUCAGCCUACCGAAGUUCUGAGAUUACAAGUGUAAGCCAUCAUACCCAGCACCAAUCUGUAUCUUUUAAGUGGAACAUUUACUCCAUUUAUUAUCAAGGUUAAUAUGAUAUGUGAUGUUUUGUUCCUGUCAUGAUAAUUGUUACCCAGUUGCUUUUUAGUCUCAAUUAUGUAAUUGCUUUAUAUAAUCUGUGAGUUUUUCACUUUAAUGUGCUUUUAUGAUGAGGAGUAUUGUCCAUUCAUUUCCAUGUUUAGAACUUUAAGCAUUUCUUGUAGUGCUGGUCUCGUGGUGACAAAUUCCCUUUGCAUUUGUUGUAUGGGAAAAACUUUAUUUCUCCUUCAUUUAUGCAGCUUAGUUUAGCAGGAUACAAAAUUCUUGGCUGGCAGGAUUUUUGUUUAAGUAGAUUAAACAUAAGACCCCAAUCUCUUCUGGCUUGUAAGGUUUCUGCUAAGAAGUCCAUUGUUAGUCUGUUGGGUUUUCCUUUAUAGAUUAGACAUUUCUCUCUUGCUGCUUUUAGGAUGUUUUCCUUCACAUUGACUUUGGAUAGUCUGACGACGAUAUGCCUUUAUGAGGUUUCUCUUGUAAAGCAUCUUCCAGGUGUUCUCUGAGCAUCUCCUAUCUGGAUGUCUAAUUCUCUAGCAAGACCAGGGAAGUUUUCCUGAAUUAUUCCCUCAAAUAGGUUUUCCAAGCUUUUAGUUUUUUUUCUUCUCCCUCAGGAAUGUCUAUAUAUUGUAUAUUUGGUAACUUUAUGUAAUUCUAUAUUUUUCAAAGUCUUUGUUCAUUUUUAAAAAUUUAUUUUUUCUGUAUUUCUGUCUGACUAGGUUAAUUCAAAUGACUGGCCUUCAGGCUCUGAAAUUAUUUCUUCUGCUUGGUCUAGUCUUUUGCUAAAAGUUUCAACUAUAUUUUAUAGUUCCUUCAAUAAAUUUUUAUUUCUAGAA